rnacentral:rRNA from 1 species
UGCAUCGAUGAAGAACGUAGCAAACUSCGAUACUUGGUGUGAAUUGCAGAAUCCCGUGADUCCAUCGAGUCUUUGAACGCAAGUUGCGCCCGAAGCCAUUAGGCCGAGGGCACGUCUGCCUGGGCGUCACGC